rnacentral:tRNA from 1 species
GAGAGUAGAGCUCAAGUGGUAGAGUGCAUGCUUAGCAUGCAUGAGGUCCUGGGUUCAAUCCCCAGUGCCUCCA